rnacentral:lncRNA from 1 species
AAUCCGGGGUGUUCCUGCUUUGAGAUUCAUGGGUGACAUAGUUUGGAAGUGAGUCCAGAAGUAAAAGUAGAAUUCAACAAAUGGUUAGAUUUUACAAUGGCAAUGAAGUCAGCAACAAUCUCAAAGUAUUCAGAAAUCAAGGAAUUAUCACAUUGAAAGAGAAACGCACAUUCAUUGAAAACUGCAAUUGUUGAUGUUGAACAUUUAGCCGUUGCUUUCAUGGAUUUAAUUAUUUAUUUUGACAUAGUUAUAUACAUCUAUUUUUUCUUUAAUAAUUUCUAUAAUAUGCAAUUAUAGUAUUAUACACACACUUUGUUUGAAAUUGUCAACGAAGAAAUUUCUGCAAGUGUUAAAGGAUAACAUUAAGUGUUACCUGACCAAUUAUUCUGGUGGCUAAAAUCGGUCGGUAUGCAUAACAUUAUUUGUCUUAUUCAUUUUAUUUUUUUAUUUUUUAUUUCUGCUUAUUUUUUAGUCAUUUUUUUUACUGUGCAUGCAUCUAGUUGCUAAUUGAUAUCUUCUUCUCUUGUAUUUUUUAUCUAAUUAUAUAAUCUUUCUGAUUUAUUCCCUUUCUUCUUCCUCGAUAUUUUUUGUUUGAAAAGGUGUUGUUUAAUGUUCAUCCUAAUCACUUGAAAAGGUAGAAAUUAAGAAGGAUCUUGUUCUUAAUCUAGAAAAUCACCACAGACAAGAAGGUGAGUUGUGUUUCCUUUGUUAUUUUCAUAAUAAAUUUAUGGGUUUUCUUAAUGUUCAUUUAAGUUGCAAGUUUUUUGGAUGAAAUUAACUUUUGCAGAACUAUAUUUUACACAGAUUAGAAAUUCUUUUUGGGUAUUCUUCUGAGUUUGUUAAUGAAAAAACUCAAUUUUAUGAUUGGUGUGUUAAAACUAAUUACCCAAUUGUUAUAUAGCUUUUAUUUUCAGAGUCCUAGAAGAAAGUAGCAAUGAAGUUUUGCAAUCUUUCAAGUUCAACUAAGGAAAGAGCAAAAAUUGUUAUGAAGAAAAUCACUUCAUUUAGAUCAAAUAGCAACAAAUCAACAGAUAGCACUUUUCAAAACUCGGAGUUAGGAAACUCAGGAUUCACUUCUCAAAAUAUAUCCGACACAAUAUAUUCACCUUCUUCCAAGACAGAGAAGUCUCCGCUUCCUGGUUUUUCCAAAUCACCAAAAAAUCUCCGGAUUUUCACAUACCCAGAACUCAAGUCUGCCAUGAAAAACUUCUCCAGGUCUACAAUGAUCGGAGAAGGUGGAUUUGGAGGCGUGUAUAGAGGUACAAUCCAAAGCUCCGACGACCCUGAAACCAAAAUUGAAAUUGCAGUCAAACAAUUGAACAGCAAUAGUUUCCAGGUAAGCUCUAGUACUCUCCAUACAUUUUUACUCCAUCUUGAGCUUUUCUGUGCUAUGUUGUAGGGACAUAAAGAAUGGUUGGCAGAAGUUAGUAUUCUUGGAGUAGCAGAGCAUCCAAAUCUUGUGAAGUUGAUUGGAUAUUGUGCUGGCGAUAAUGAAAGAGGACAGCAACGUCUUUUAGUCUAUGAAUACAUGCCUAACAAAACAGUAGAACGAUAUCUAUUAUCUAAAUCACAAGCAAUUCUUUCUUGGCCUGCGCGGUUAAAGAUCGCAUUAGAUUCUGCUCGUGGGUUAACUUACCUUCAUGAAGAAAUGGAAGACCAGGUUUGCUUCUUUCUCAUUUGUUUGUGAUUUCAAUACUCAAUUAUUUUUUAUACAAAUCAAAAUAAAGUGAGAUUUCCAAAAUCCAACUUUUGGUUUCAUAUCAGAU